rnacentral:rRNA from 1 species
UACGUAGGGGGCAAGCGUUGUCCGGAAUCAUUGGGCGUAAAGAGCGCGUAGGCGGUCCGGUAAGUCCGCUCUGAAAGUCCGGGGCUCAACCCCGGGAGGCGGGUGGAUACUGCUGAGCUCGAGUCCGGAAGAGGAGUGUGGAAUUCCUGGUGUAGCGGUGAAAUGCGCAGAUAUCAGGAGGAACACCAAUGGCGAAGGCAGCACUCUGGGACGGUACUGACGCUGAGACGCGAAAGCGUGGGGAGCAAACAGG